UUCUCGGAAGCUGGGUGGGCAGCUCAGGUGGGAGAUCAAGCCAUCAGCCAUUCUGACCUCCCCCAGAUAACUCUGGGGCUACCUCUGGCUCCCCACUCCCCACACCUGGGAGACUCAGCCACAGGGACCCCUCUGUAACCUGAGUCCCAGAAGGAGGUGUGGAAUUCCAACCAUACCAUGGUGUGCUUAAAUAAGGAGAGGGAAGUCAUUUAAUCCAGAUCUUUCCCUUUCAGCCAAUGAUCAAAAGUAGCUUUUGUGUGAAGCUUCAAAAAUUGUAGAAAGUAAAGAAUCGUCACUCUGUCCGCAUCCUGCUCUGCACCGUGGCCCUGCCCCCGCCCCGCCCCGCCCCGCCCCUUGCAAGCUUCUGGUUUAUUCCUGUUGUCAGGACAAGCUGUCUCUCUGGAAUUUCUAGGACAUUCCCCAUUCCCAGUCUUCUGGCAAGUGACCCACCAGAAGAAAAUUGGCUCUGAAGUUUAUUUUGUGAGUUCAAGACACAUCAAGGAACUCCAGGAGUAUUUGGUAUUGCUCCUGAAAAAAGACUACGUUCUUUGUAACCAUGCAGAUGGGCACUACUCAACCCGGAGGGUGUAUGUAUCAUGAAUAAUCUUGGGAAGUGAGGAAAAUGUGAGAAGAAUGCGGUGAGCAGCUGAACGGAAACAGGGUCCUGAAGCACAGGGAGAGGGGACAGGAGUUGUGACUUGUCGCCCGUAGGAGACAAGCAUGGUCAAGUGUUGCCAGGAACAGUAAGGGAGGUUCCUUCCAUGUUGCCCAGUGAGAAGCAUAACCCUGAGGGUUUCCCUUUUAUGUCAAAUGCCAAGAAACAAAGACCACAUAAAAUAUCUCAUUGACAUUAGUAGGCGAGGGGAAAUCAAGUUCAGUGCAUUAUGUUAAUGAGAAAUCACCAUGAACAUCACACAGCCCAUGAACUUUGGGGUUUGGCUAGAAGAGUCUGGCUUUUCAACCACCAGGGCACCACAGGAAAUGCAAACAAAUAUUUUAAAAGUCCAGUGGGAUGAGGGAGAUCCCUAGCCUGCAAACUUACCAACGCAGGACGUCUGACAUCCGCGUACAUUUUACCAGAGAAUUCAUGUGGUGAACAGCAGUGGGGUCCCAGGCUGCCCACGGAAGUCGACCUAACCCCCCGCGAGCUAAGCCCUGGCCAGGAUGUUCUCGUUCCAGAAGAGAGCAAAAGCCUGGAUAGUUAUCUUCGUUCCUCCCUCUAGAAUUCACACGGUUGCUAACAGUGCAUUGAAUUAAUGGAGAAUGAGGGAGUAGGUGAUGUCUUUCUUUCCUUUCCAUCUCUGAAGAGAACUUGCGGGCCCUGCAUGGACCUAGUAACUGAAGACUGAUUCUUUGCAAUGAAGGAGGCAAAGCAAUCCAUGGAUGGACUGUGUGCCGCCCAAGCAGGGGAGCACUAUUCCCAGAGGAUCUGGGGCAAGAGCAAGGGUGUAGAGCAUGAGAAGAGGAAACAGAGCGCGAAGCACGACUGGCUAGGUGGUCGGCCACUUCCUCAUACGGCCGGCAGGUCCUCGUUUCCAGGCGGAGGGGAGCUAGCGGCUGCUGGAGCACCGGUGUGUGUUAGGGUCCUUGGCAGGUGCCUCCGUGAGUGCCGGCGGACUCAGGUUUAAGGUGGUGUGAGGAGGAAGAAUGAAAUCUGAACUAAAAUAAGGCACAAUGAGAGGCCAUGGAACUGUUCCAGGGAUCUUAAUUAAAAACAGGAAGCAUUUUCAAGGAUUUUUCAAGAAGCCUGCUCCAAAUAAAAGCCUGGUUUUUAAAAAUACCACCUUUGUUGGAAGAGCUUCCAUCGGGGACUAGCGGGCCUGUGCUUGGAAAUGACACCCCUGCUUUUUGCUCCUCCCCAGCAGGCACCCCAGCCCUGCUGACUCACUGAGGCCCCCUGCCCCUGCUGUUCGGGGCGCAGCCCCAUUAUCCCGGUUUUAGGCAAUAGUAGGGGGACUAGUCCUCCUGGUUUGUCCCGGACUGAAGGGUCUCCUAGGGUCUAAAACUGGGAAGCUCCCAGACAACUGGGACAAAUUGGUCCCCCUCAUUUGAAACUGAGACAGAAUGCCUCUCCUCCAUUUGGGCUUGUCCAUCCCAACCUCUGGAUCCGCCCCAUGACUUCCUCUAGAACACGGACGCCUCUUUGGACAGAAUGCUCUCUCUUUGGCCGUCUCCGCUCUAACCAACUUCGGGUGAACUUCCUCGGCUGUGUUACGCCCUGCUGCUCGGGAGGACCCCUGGCCAAACAAGAACAUAAAGUUCAAAUUCUAAUUUUACCUUCUUUACAAUAAUUUUUUUUAAUUACAACUCAAGUGGAGGAAUGGGAUAUUCAAGCAUUAAAUGUUUUAAUUUAUUAGGCACUGUGCCUUUAUCAUCGGGCAUUUAACUGCAAUUUGAUCACUAAGUCAACAGAGAAGGUAUACAGAAAGAGGGGCUGGGAUGGCCUUCGCUGCGUCUCGGAAGGUGAAUGCACCUUAUUUAUUGCUCCCAAGGCCCUGCUGUCUUGUGUAUUCUGGAACGUGUCUCUUGAGAGUCUUGUCCCUGACCGGAGGCCUCGAUUUCCUUCCAAGCUCUUGCUGUAAUUUAUGGAUUAAAAGUCUUUCCUCUUGCAGGACAUUGUUUGGUGUGCUGUGUGCAAGUGCUCAGCUUGGUUUAUCGUGCAAAGACUAACAAAGCCUGGCAUGUUUACCUCCCUUGAAGAAACGUGGCUGCCUCCACAAACUCAGACUUUGCUCUCUUCCUAAGUCCGGCUUCAGAAAG